AAGCUAAAAUUUUUAUUACCCAGAAAUGAAAUUUUAUUUAUCUUUUUUUACCUUUUGCAUAAGUGUUUAAUUAAAAAAAUAUUAUAUAAAGUUUCCCGAAUUAGAAAGAUCUAAAAUUUUUUUUAAGUUAGAAAAGUAUUUUAAUAAUGUGGCAUUAUUAUUAUUAUUAGUUGAUUUUAGGAGCGAAAAACUUCCAUUUUCUAAGAUAGCUGGAUUUUCUUUAAAAGUAUUUAGUACUUUGAAAAAUUAAGAAGUUUUUAGAUUUCUUAAAAAAAGAAUUUUUCGUAAUUUAAUUUUUUAUGAAAUAAACCUCUUAAAAAUUUUUGACAUAAUUAUUUAUUAUUUUUUUUGAUCUUUUUUUUAAAGAAAAAGUUAUUAAAUUUUAAAUAAAUUUUAUAAUGUUAAAAUUAGUAAAAAGAGAAUUUUAAUUAAGGAACUCGGCAAAACAAAUUCUUACCUGUUUAUCAAAAACAUAGCCUAAAGAAGUUUAUUUUAGGUAAAUUCUGCCCAGCGCAUAAUUUGUUAGCGGCCGCAGUACCUUGACUGUGCUAAGGUAGCAUAAUCAAUUGGCUUUUAAUUGAAGUCUGGAAUGAAAGGUUUAAUAAAGAAUUUUCUGUCUUCUUUAAAUUUUAUUGAAUUUAUUUAAUAAGUGAAAAUACUUAAUCAAAGAAAAAAGACGAGAAGACCCUUAGAAUUUUAAAUAAAAAAUAAACUUUAUUUUAUUUUUUUGUUGGGGCGACAUUUAAACAUUUAAACUUUAAUAAUUUACUAGACAUUAAGUUUUGUAAGACAAAAUUACCUUAGGGAUAACAGCAUAAUGAUUUUCAUAGUUUGUGACCUCGAUGUUGGACUAGGAACUAAAAGACUAACCGUCAAAAUAGAUUGUUCUGUUCGAACAUUUAACUCCUACAUGAUCUGAGUUCAGACCGGCGUAAGCCAGGUCAGUUUCUAUCUUUUAUUUUUUUGCUUUUAG
rnacentral:rRNA from 1 species